rnacentral:rRNA from 1 species
GACGAACGCUGGCGGCGUGCUUAACACAUGCCAGUCGAACGGAAAGGCCUGCUUUCCCUUGUGGAUUGCGGGUACUCGAGUGGCGAACGGGUGAGUAACACGUGAGUGAUCUGCCCCCAACUUGGGUAUAAGCCUGGGAAACUGGGUCUAAUUCCCGAUAGGACUGCAGGGUGGUGCCUGUGGUGGAAAACGAUUUUCUAGUGGUUGGGGAUGAGCUCGCGGCCUAUCAGCUUGUUGGUGGGGUAAUGGCCUACCAAGGCGGCGACGGGUAGCCGGCCUGGGAGGGUGGACGGCCACAUUGGGACUGAGAGACGGCCCAGACUCCUACGGGAGGCAGCAGUGGGGAAUAUUGCACAAUGGGCGGAAGCCUGAUGCAGCGACGCCGCGUGGGGGAUGACGGCCUUCGGGUUGUAAACUCCUUUCGACCGCGAGGAAGCCACCUGGUUGGAAGGGUGGUGACGGUAGUGGUAGAAGAAGCACCGGCUAACUACGUG